rnacentral:rRNA from 1 species
GACGAGGGCGCGAGCGUUGUCCGGAAUUAUUGGGCGUAAAGAGCUUGUAGGCGGUUUGUCGCGUCUGCCGUGAAAAUUCGAGGCUCAACCUCGAACUUGCGGUGGGUACGGGCAGACUAGAGUGUGGUAGGGGAGAUCGGAAUUCCUGGUGUAGCGGUGAAAUGCGCAGAUAUCAGGAGGAACACCGGUGCGAAGGCGGAUCUCUGGGCCUACUGACUCUGAGCGACGAAAGCUAGGGGAGCGAACAGG